rnacentral:rRNA from 1 species
UUGAAUAAAGUUCUAGAUAGUGUUAUGAUAAUGACAUUUACUAUCUUUGUGUCUUGACCAAAUCACGUGCCAGCAGUCGCGGUAAUACGUGGAAGACUAGUGUUAUUCAUCUUUAUUUGGUUUAAAGGGUACCUAGACGGUUAAAAAAGUCCACAUUAUAAGGGGUACUAAUUAACUAGAGUUUUAUACGAGAGGGGAAGUACUAAAGAGUGGAGAGAUGAAAUUCUGUGAUACCUGCUUUGGAACAGGCAACGGCGAAAGCAACCUUUUAUCUAAAAACUGACGUUGAGGGACGAAGGCUUAGGACACCAACAGGAUUAGAUACCCCAGCAGUCUAAGCAGACAAUGAUGAAUGUCAUAUAUAAAUGAAAGUGUAAGCAUUCCACCUCAAGAGUAAUGUGGCAACACAUAAACUGAAAUCAUUAGACCGUUUCUGAAACCAGUCGUGAAGUAUGUUGUUUAAUUUGUCGAUCCGCAAAACACCUUACCACACAAGCGUUGCACGGCUGUCUUCAGUUAAUGUUGUGAAAUUUUGGUUAGUUCCAUUAAAUUAACGUAAACCC